rnacentral:rRNA from 1 species
UACGAAGGGGGCUAGCGUUGUUCGGAAUCACUGGGCGUAAAGAGUACGUAGGCGGAUUGUUAAGUCAGGGGUGAAAUCCCGAGGCUCAACCUCGGAACUGCCUUUGAUACUGGCAAUCUUGAGUCCGGGAGAGGUGAGUGGAACUCCUAGUGUAGAGGUGAAAUUCGUAGAUAUUAGGAAGAACACCAGUGGCGAAGGCGGCUCACUGGCCCGGAACUGACGCUGAGGUACGAAAGCGUGGGGAGUAAACAGG